UACGGAGGGUGCGAGCGUUGUCCGGAAUCACUGGGCGUAAAGGGCGCGUAGGCGGCUGGGGAAGUCGGCGGUGAAAGCCCGGAGCUCAACUCCGGGUCGGCCGUCGAGACUCCUCGGCUCGAGCUCACUAGAGGCAGGUGGAAUUCCGGGUGUAGCGGUGGAAUGCGUAGAGAUCCGGAAGAACACCAGUGGCGAAGGCGGCCCGCUGGGCAGUGGCUGACGCUGAGGCGCGACAGCGUGGGGAGCAAACAGG
rnacentral:rRNA from 1 species